AUUGAACGCUGGCGGCAUGCUUUACACAUGCAAGUCGAACGGUAACAGGCCGCACGUUCCUGACGAGUGGCGACCGGGUGAGUAAUGCAUCCGAACGGGCCCCGUCGUGGGGGAUAACUACUCGCAAGAGUAGCUAAUACCGCAUACGAUCUAUGGAUGAAAGCGGGGGACCGCAAGGCCUCGCGCGAUUGGAGCGGCCGCUGUCAGAUUAGGUAGUUGGUGGGGUAAAGGCUCACAAAGCCAACGAUCUGUAGCUGGUCUGAGAGGACGACCAGCCACACUGGGACUGAGACACGGCCCAGACUCCUACGGGAGGCAGCAGUGGGGAAUUUUGGACAAUGGGCGCAAGCCUGAUCCAGCAAUGCCGCGUGCAGGAAGAAGGCCUUCGGAUUGUAAACUGCUUUUGUACGGAACGAAACGGCUCUGGUUAAUACCCGGGGCUAAUGACGGUACCGUAAGAAUAAGCACGGGCUAACUACGUG
rnacentral:rRNA from 1 species